UGAGAAACAUGUUUGUGCUAAGGCUUGA
rnacentral:piRNA from 1 species